CGGGACACGUGGUAUCCUGUCUGAAUAUGGGGGGACCAUCCUCCAAGGCUAAAUACUCCUGACUGACCGAUAGUGAACCAGUACCGUGAGGGAAAGGCGAAAAGAACCCCGGCGAGGGGAGUGAAAAAGAACCUGAAACCGUGUACGUACAAGCAGUGGGAGCACGCUUAGGCGUGUGACUGCGUACCUUUUGUAUAAUGGGUCAGCGACUUAUAUUCUGUAGCAAGGUUAACCGAAUAGGGGAGCCGAAGGGAAACCGAGUCUUAACUGGGCGUUAAGUUGCAGGGUAUAGACCCGAAACCCGGUGAUCUAGCCAUGGGCAGGUUGAAGGUUGGGUAACACUAACUGGAGGACCGAACCGACUAAUGUUGAAAAAUUAGCGGAUGACUUGUGGCUGGGGGUGAAAGGCCAAUCAAACCGGGAGAUAGCUGGUUCUCCCCGAAAGCUAUUUAGGUAGCGCCUCGUGAAUUCAUCUCCGGGGGUAGAGCACUGUUUCGGCAAGGGGGUCAUCCCGACUUACCAACCCGAUGCAAACUGCGAAUACCGGAGAAUGUUAUCACGGGAGACACACGGCGGGUGCUAACGUCCGUCGUGAAGAGGGAAACAACCCAGACCGCCAGCUAAGGUCCCAAAGUCAUGGUUAAGUGGGAAACGAUGUGGGAAGGCCCAGACAGCCAGGAUGUUGGCUUAGAAGCAGCCAUCAUUUAAAGAAAGCGUAAUAGCUCACUGGUCGAGUCGGCCUGCGCGGAAGAUGUAACGGGGCUAAACCAUGCACCGAAGCUGCGGCAGCGACGCUGAUGCGUUGUUGGGUAGGGGAGCGUUCUGUAAGCCUGUGAAGGUGUGCUGUGAGGCAUGCUGGAGGUAUCAGAAGUGCGAAUGCUGACAUAAGUAACGAUAAAGCGGGUGAAAAGCCCGCUCGCCGGAAGACCAAGGGUUCCUGUCCAACGUUAAUCGGGGCAGGGUGAGUCGACCCCUAAGGCGAGGCCGAAAGGCGUAGUCGAUGGGAAACAGGUUAAUAUUCCUGUACUUGGUGUUACUGCGAAGGGGGGACGGAGAAGGCUAUGUUGGCCGGGCGACGGUUGUCCCGGUUUAAGCGUGUAGGCUGGUUUUCCAGGCAAAUCCGGAAAAUCAAGGCUGAGGCGUGAUGACGAGGCACUACGGUGCUGAAGCAACAAAUGCCCUGCUUCCAGGAAAAGCCUCUAAGCAUCAGGUAACAUCAAAUCGUACCCCAAACCGACACAGGUGGUCAGGUAGAGAAUACCAAGGCGCUUGAGAGAACUCGGGUGAAGGAACUAGGCAAAAUGGUGCCGUAACUUCGGGAGAAGGCACGCUGAUAUGUAGGUGAAGCGACUUGCUCGUGGAGCUGA
rnacentral:rRNA from 1 species